rnacentral:rRNA from 1 species
GACGCACCGUGCAAACGUUAUUCGGAAUCACUGGGCAUAAAGGGCGCGUAGGCGGCUUUCUAAGUCAGGGGUGAAAUCCGGCAGCUCAACUGUCGCAGUGCCUUUGAUACUGGAGAGCUCGAGGGAGGUAGGGGUCUGUGGAACUUCCGGUGGAGCGGUGAAAUGCGUAGAUAUCGUAAGGAAGACCAGUGGCGAAGGCGGGUCUCUGGACAGUUCCUGACGCUGAGGCACGAAGGUCAGGGGAGCAAACGGG